rnacentral:rRNA from 1 species
GGAGUCUGGUCCGUGUCUCAGUACCAGUGUGGGGGACCUUCCUCUCAGAACCCCUACUGAUCGUUGGCCAGGUGGGCCGUUACCCCGCCUGCAACCUAAUCAGACGCAUCCCCAUCCCAUAGCGGUAAACCUUUAUUCCUCCUUAGAUGCCUGCAAAGGAGAACAUAGAGUAUUAAUCCGACUUUCGCCGGGCUAUCCUCUAGUAAGGGGAAGGUUGGAUACGCGUUACUCACCCGUGCGCCGGUCGCCAUCAAAGGAAGCAAGCUUCCUUCAUGCUGCCCCACGACUUGCAUGUGUUAAGCCUGUAGCUAGCGUUCAUC